UACGUCGCAUCCGUUUAUUCCCUAAAUCUCUCCUUUGUUUUGGAAACUUUGUUCAUUUUCUUCGAUUAGAUCGCCAACAUGCCCUCUUAUCAUGUUCCUGUUCCUCUAUGUGAUUUGGUUUCUGAUUUUAAAGUUCUCAGCAUAAAAUUAGGGAUAUAUUGAAAUGGAUUUCUGUCUACAUCUCAAGAAAUCAACAACCAAAUCUUAUCCAAAAUUUGAAACCUACAUGUUGCAACUUUUUAUGGAUUACGAAUACACCUCUCUAUCCCAUUCCUUCUCUUAUCUGCCAUAGAAUUGAUAUGGCUCAAGUUUUCCUGAGGGUUAUUAACGACUAUGUGAUGGUCUCCGAAUCGAUCCUCCAUUCCAUCCACAGUACAAACGAUUUAUUAAAGGUCGAUUUCGAUUUUGUAGAUUUUACGUUUUUUUUUUGUUUAUUGCUGUUUACUAAGCCCAUUCCAGAAUAUUCCAGAAUAUAACUCCAACCAUGUGUAAGGUAUGAUCACAUUUUUCGUUUUAAUAACUAAUUUUCAUCUUCUAUCAUCUUCUAUCAUUAUAUUAACACAUUUCUAAAUUUUAUUAAUGGUGUUUUGAUAUAUAUAUAUAUAUAUAUAUAUAUAUAUAUAUAUAUAUAUAUAUAUAUAUAUAUAUAUAUAUAUAUAUAUCUGAAACUUUAAAUCUUUUGAUGGAAAUCAAAGUACUUUUUCUCAAUGAAAUAUCUUUGGUCUCAUGUGUAGUGCUAGGUCUAAGAACAUCACCAGAAAAAGGAAAUUCUAUAAGUAUGCUUACAUCAAUUUUGUAGUUUCGUUUUUCUACUUGAUAGAGAUCACUUGCCUAAUCAAUUUGUGAGGGUUAUAGUGGAUAUGUUGUUGAACAUGGUGAAAAGGUAUGUGUAUUUGGCAGUUUUAAGGUAUGUGUGUUUCUAACUUUUAUUAUUAGGAUUUUGACAUUGUCAAAAUCCUUUUAAAUGAAAUUUGUAUACUCAAAGAACAAGGAUUAGGUUAAUUAUGAUAUGACAGGCAAAUUGUCUGCCAAACCAAUUUUCAUGGGGCAAUAAAGGUAUAUGUUAUCUAUUAGUUAUGUUCUCUUGUGCUUUAAUGCUUAAAAUUUAUUUUUUGUGUAAUUGUGUAUUUAUGCUUAAAGAUAAAUGUAUUACCUUAUAACAAUCAUGUUUGGAAUUUAGCAUGUAGGUAUCUGGGUGUCAAAUUUUUAUUUUUUAUAAUUUGGAAUCAUGUUUUAGUUUUUUGUUUCUAGACAUGACUAUAAAAGGAAGUUUCAUAAUUAAGGUGAAAAUGUAUGUGUGAUCGUUCAUAUUAAUUAAUUAUAUAUAUAAUUUGAAAACAAUUAUGUAUAGUAGAUUGCACAUAUGAAAUUAGUUAUGUGUGUUAUGUAUAGUUUUAAGAUACAUUGUAAAACAUAUCAAAUAUGUGAUAUUUUAUACAAGAGCAUGAAGAUACAUUGUAAAUUUUAAACAGUUUGAGAUACUGAACAUGGUUAAAUUUGGAUAGGCUGCUAUGUUUGACUUUUUGAUAGCAUCUUAAUUUUUAUUUUUUCCUGUUACAAUGUUAUAGUUUGAAAUAUCUAUCUUUUUAUAAUAAUGUUCUUUAAAUAGAAAGUACAUUACUAUUUCUUACAUUUUUUAUGGUUAAAGACCCACUUUGAGUUACCUGGUUAGGAUUUGGAUUAGCUACAUGCACUUUUGACCACCCGAAAUGAAAACCAAAAUGGAUUAUAAUUUUAUUUCAAUUUUGAAUAGGUUUUGAGAAUAUUUUUUUAUAGGUUUAGGAUUGAAUGAUAUUCUGAAGCCUGGACGUAUAUUACCAUUGAUGGACAGACUUUGUCUCUAGACCAAGUAGCAUCCCAUUUGCCUGAGGUAAGAUGACUAUUAAGUACAAAGAAAUGAAUAAAUAUAUUUGACUGCAGGGGCAAAAUGGAAUCCAAAAGAUUAUUGGAAUUGCUGUGGAGCCCUCCUUUCUGCCAACAAAUGUAAUAUGAUCGGCUAUCACAUGUUUUUGCUUAUGUGGCAUCCACCUGACAUAUGACUUGAAUACGUUGCACCUACGUGGCAUGGUGCAUAUAUGGGAAAAUGACUUAUUAAGGUAAUAUGACCGGCUAUCAACUGUUUUUGCUUAUGUGGCAUCCACCUGGCAUAUGACUUGAAUACGUUGUACCUACGUGGCAUGGUGCAUAUAUUGUCUUCAUUCGAUUACACUAUAACUGUGUCAUACGAUUCCACCCCUAAUUCUAAACCCUAGAUCGAUCGACGAUGACUUCUUCUUCCUCAUCUUAUUCUUCAAAAUGAUAAGAUGAGUUUCAAGCUGAUCAUCCAUGUGAUUGCGGUUUACCAUCUCAUGUGAAGAUUUCAAGAACGCCUGCAACAUAUUCAACAAUAUUGAUUUACAAUCGAUUUUUGACAAACUCUAAAUUUUCUUCAUGGGUUGUCAGGAGUUCUUGAAAUCUUCACACGAGAUGGUAAGCCACAAUCACAUGGAUGAUCAACUUGAAAUUCAUCUUGUCGUUUUGAAGAAUAAGAUGAGGAAGAAGAACCAAAACAAGUCAUAUGCCAGUUGGAUGCCAUGUAGGUGCAACGUAUUCAAGUCAUAUGCCAGAUGGAUGUCACAUAAGCAAAAACAGUUGAUAGCCGAUCAUAUUACCUAAAUGUGAACAAACAGAAUAAGUUAGUUACCUUAAUGUGUACAAAAAAAAGAACAUUACCUAUAUAUGCACAACUGAAAUAGUUAGUUACCUUAAUAAGUCAUUUUCCCAUAUAUGCACCAUGCCACGUAGGUGCAACGUAUUCAAGUCAUAUUCCAGGUGGAUGCCACAUAAGCAAAAACAGGUGAUAGCCGGUCAUAUUACCUAAAUGUGAACAAACAAAACAAGUUAGUUACCUUAAUGUGUACAAAAAAAAGAACAUUACCUAUAUAUGGACAAUUGAAAUAGUUAGUUACCUUAACAAGUCAUUUUCCCGUUUAAAUAUUAACUAUAAGUACAUAUGGAGUGUGGAUUUACCAUAGUUUUUACUUAUUUUUUAAUUAGUUUUGUUGGCUCUCACUACUUCUGAUUUGCAAAUAUAUUUGAGAAAAUGGAAAGAUAUGUGCAUGUUGCUU